UACGGAGGGUGGCAAGCGUUAUCCGGAUUCACUGGGUUUAAAGGGUGCGUAGGUGGGUAGGUAAGUCAGUGGUGAAAUCUUCGAGCUUAACUCGGAAACUGCCAUUGAUACUAUUUAUCUUGAAUACUUUGGAGGUAAGCGGAAUAUGUCAUGUAGCGGUGAAAUGCUUAGAUAUGACAUAGAACACCAAUUGCGAAGGCAGCUUACUACACAGUUAUUGACACUGAGGCACGAAAGCGUGGGGAUCAAACAGG
rnacentral:rRNA from 1 species